GGGAUAAACGCUGGCGGCGUGCCUUAUGCAUGCAAGUCGAACGAGAUUAGGACUUCGGUCCGAAGUCUAGUGGCGAACGGGUGAGUAACACGUACGUGACCUGUCCGGAAGUGGGGAAUAACCAGCCGAAGGGUUGGCUAAUACCGCAUGUGGUUACCCCUUGGAAGGGGCAAACCAAAGUCGCAAGACGCUUUCGGAGGGGCGUGCGGCCGAUUAGCUUGUUGGUGUGGUAACGGCGCACCAAGGCUGUGAUCGGUAGCUGGUCUGAGAGGAUGGUCAGCCACACUGGGACUGAGACACGGCCCAGACUCCUACGGGAGGCAGCAGCAGGGAAUUUGCGCAAUGGGCGAAAGCCUGACGCAGCAACGCCGCGUGGGGGAUGAAGGCUCUUGGGUCGUAAACCCCUUUUGCCGGGAAGAUAAAUGACGGUACCGGCGAAUAAGCCACAGCUAACACGUGCUAGCAGCCGC
rnacentral:rRNA from 1 species